AACGAACGCUGGCGGCAGGCUUGACACGAUGCAAGUUGAACGGGAACAUACGUAUAGCUUGCUAUAGUAUGUGAGAGUGGCGCACGGGUGAGUAAUACAUGGGAACAUACCUUAAAGUGGGGGAUAACUUCUGGAAACGGAUGCUAAUACCGCAUAUACCCUGAGGGGGAAAGAUUUAUCGCCGAAAGAUCGGCCCGCGUCUGAUUAGCUAGUUGGUGAGGUAAUGGCUCACCAAGGCGACGAUCAGUAGCUGGUCUGAGAGGAUGAUCAGCCACACUGGGACUGAGACACGGCCCAG
rnacentral:rRNA from 1 species